rnacentral:rRNA from 1 species
UACGAAGGGGGCGAGCGUUGCUCGGAAUGACUGGGCGUAAAGGGCGCGUAGGCGGCUGUUACCGUCAGAUGUGAAAUCCCUCGGCUUAACCGGGGAACUGCGUCCGAUACUGGAUGGCUUGAGUUCGGGAGAGGGAUGCGGAAUUCCAGGUGUAGCGGUGAAAUGCGUAGAUAUCUGGAGGAACACCGGUGGCGAAGGCGGCAUCCUGGACCGAUACUGACGCUGAGGAGCGAAAGCCAGGGGAGCAAACGGG